AGUGGCAUCAUCUUUCUCCUCUUGUUCCCCCCAUGCUCUCAGAACUUGCCCCAACUCCUCUCCUGGUUUCUACAAGCUGCGCUUUACACCUAAUGAUUUGCUACAACAUCUGUUUCCAGCACGUGAUGUUAGCUGUCAAGAAAGAGACAAAAAUUCAUUACCACGCACUUUCCCCAUGUUCAGACUUUCGGAUUCUAAAAAGAAAAUGCAAAAACAACCAACAUUUGUUACUUCCACUGUUAACAACUGGUCUGACUUUGAGAAAGCAACUUAGGUCAUCAUAAUAUUCUAUUUUUUUUUCCAGCUGAAUAGAUGCAGAGAUAGCCUCAAGGAACACCAUAUUUAAAGGUGGGAAGUUAAGACAUUUGAAUUGUCUGUUUGCUGCCUCAAUCUAUGCAGAGACAGGAAGUUAGUGAAGGACACUAGCUCACUUGGUACAGACAAGCAAAGAUGCAGUAUUCAACUGUGCACCAGAAGAGACAUUAGGAGUACACCCACUACUACAGGACCCUUAGCCUUGCAUGAGCAACUCACAGCUAUGUGAAUGAGGAACAGAUCCACUACCUAGUUUAUAGCCUAUUCAAACUUCUCUUUUUGUAGAAGACAACUCUGAGGCCUUAUCCAGUUUCAGGAAGUGCAAUAUGUUUGCCAUUUAGUGCAUGGAAGACAAGGGCCACUGAUGCUUCUAGCAAAGCAUGCUGAGAGAAAACACACAAGCUGCUGAAACAAAGGUCUGCAGAAUCUGGGGAUUUUUCCUGAUGCAGACAGAGAUUUUCAGAUGAACCUGUGCAUGCCAGAAUUGCAGCUGAACACAAAUAUUGUAAGGCUGCAUCCAUGUUGCUACUAGUGCAGUACAGACAGGGAUCCAUGGAAGCAGACAGCCUGCUGCGGGAACAGGCUUCAUAACCUGGGCCAUGGUCCCUCCAACCACUUUCCUAGACCCAACAGCACCAGUGACCCAUAUCCCCAUUUGGCUUUCUGGGAAAUAGGAGGGAAGGCUGAGACAACUUCUUGCUACAAGAAUUUCCUUAAGGUUUGGAUGUGUAACACACUUACACUAGUGUAAUCUGCCUCUGCCCCAGUGCAAAAAAGUACCACAGGGUAUAUAGCAGUGGGGGCCAAAUAUUUUGGCAGGUGCCAUAAUUUAACCCUGCACCCUCCCCGAGUACCACCUGAUCCUUUUCUCUACCUGAUCUGCUGUUCUGCUUUCUGCUUCCUUCCCUGUGCUCCCUGCCCUAGCUGCUGCUGCUUUCUUUGCUUCUUUCCCUGUGCUGUCUGCCCCAUCUAUUGCUCUGCUUUUCUGCUCCCUGAUCUAUCUGCUAUUGGGUUGCUUGUGUUUACUCAAGGCAAACAAGCUAUUACCAACUCCUCUGCCACCUAGUGGUGAGCCUGCAUAAUAGUGCUUGUUAAACUACCCUGGGAGAGCUGGUUGUCUGUCUGCUCCAAUCCCAGUGUACUUUGGUAUAUAAAGCAAUGGAAGUUAAACAGGUAUAAAUGUGUCAUGUGUCCAGGUUCUUGUAUCCAGUAGGCAGACCCUUCUUUGGGAAACUGCUUCCCCCUGCUGCAGUUGAUGUAAUUAUUAGGGCUGUACAAAACAGCGCCAUUUCGUUUCAACUUCCAUUUCGCCAUUUCGAUGGGACAGUGUUUCAUUUCAAGUUUCGUUUAAAAAGCACAGUUCCAUUUCAUUUCAUCGAAACUGUUU